ensembl:lncRNA
CGCGCGCGGGCGUGUUCGUGUGUGCUGCUACGUGGAAGGAUGUGCUACCUUGUUUACUGUUGAUGCUCAGACUGACCCCAGGUGACCCCAAGUGCUCCCAAUCCGGGGAAAAGGUCGUGUGAUGUCAUGGCUCUGGGUGCUGAUCCAGACGCUGCAGGACAGCGAGUUUGCGGAAGUAAUGAGUGAGCAUUACUGAUGACGAAAGACACCACAGAAUGAAGAAAUAACGGAAAGAGCGAAAGCUUGGCCAAGAACAGACACGAGGCUGUGUUGUCACUUCCAGUAAACUCAGAUAUUAUGUGUUGUUUGUGUGUGUGUGUGUGUGUGUGUGUGUGUGCGCUCAAUAGCUAGACCAAUAGGAACAGAAAAGUUUUAUUCUCCAUAAUCAGUAGAUUGGAAUUGGGACA